AGGUGCGACCAUACCAGUAGUAAUGCAUCGGAUUCUAUCAGAACUCUGCAGUUAAGCGUGCUUGGGCGAGAGCAGUAAUAAGAUGGGUGACCUCUUGGGACGUCCUCGUGAUGCAACCC
rfam:Citrus sinensis cultivar Ridge Pineapple sweet orange scaffold04536_contig_1, whole genome shotgun sequence.